UGGACAUCUCUGUACAAAAUAUUAACAAACUAAUACUAGUAGUUUAUGUUAUGUACAACUAGAGAAAACCCUAGUGACAUAUACAAAAAGUUAAUGAAUAGUGGCACAAAUAAUUACAAUAAUAUAAAAUAAAGAGCUUAAGAAAACAUCUGUCAAGAAUCUUUGUGCUUCAAUCUGUGAAAGUUAAAACAGUAAUCAUAGCUUCAGUGGCCAACAGCUCUUUGUCUGUACACUGCUGGUUUCAUAAGGAUUCUCUUUUAAAGAAGUGAAGAAACAAAGAAAGAAAACAAAAUCAAAAGAGCUUAAUCAAGAAAGAUAUGUUUGGCAAUUGUGACCAGAAGAAGAAGAUGCCUAGCAUCAGCUCUCCCAAUACCAAUCCACUGGCUAUUAUGCAGAGCAAGAACAUGAUUGUGGCUCCGUCUCAUCAGCAGCAGCAACAACAGCAAGCGCAUCAACAGCAACCACAACUUAAAUGCCCUCGUUGCGAUUCUUCUAACACAAAGUUCUGUUACUACAACAACUACAGCCUCUCUCAGCCGCGGCACUUUUGCAAGGCUUGCAAGAGGUAUUGGACACGAGGUGGGACCCUCCGUAACGUUCCCGUAGGCGGUAGCUACCGGAAAAAUAAACGUGUGAAGCGGCCAGCAACCGCUGCCUCCACGGUCUCGAAGACUACUUCUUCAUCCCCUAAUCAUCAGAUCUCCCAUUUCUCUUCCAUGAAUCAUCAUCCCAUGCUCUAUGGUUUAUCAGAUCAUGUGAGCAGUUGUAAUAGUCUUCCAAUGAUUCCAAGCCGGUUCAAUGAUUCUUCAAAGACUUCAUCAAGUGGUUUAGAGAGUGAGUUUUUCUCAUCUGGUUUUAGUGGCCUUGGUGCUCUUGGUCUAGGGUUUCCACAUCAUAUGAGUCAUGACCACACCGCCAUUAACGGUGGCUUCAUCAACAACUCUACAGCAAACAAACCCUUUCUUCUCUCGGGGCUAUUUGGGUCUUCGGUAUCUUCAUCUUCCUCUAGUCAUCUCCAGCAUCCACACAAACCCAUGAACAAUGGUGGUGAGAUGAUGGGACAAUCCCAUCUCCAAACCCUAGCAUCACUUCAAGAUCUGCAUGUUGGAGGUAACAAUGAAGAUGUGAACAAAUUAGGGAAGCUGGGUCAGAUCUCAGGGACCUUUAGUGGAUUCAUGUCACCAUCCUCUUUAGAUCCUUCAAACUCCAACAACAUAUGGAAUAAUGCGAGUGUUGUCAAUGGAGGAUGGCUUGAUCCGACAAAUAAUAACGUUGGAUCCUCCCUUACCUCCUUGAUAUAAACCAAAACUUAUUGCUUAUAGAAUCCAUUACUAGCUGGGGUUUCAUCUUCAUCACUUUUUUUCUUUGCGUUUUGAGAUGAGAGAAGAAGCUUGGAUCAGAGAGAUAAAAUCAGGGGAAAUGUUGAUGUUAGCUACUAUAAACUCCCUCGGAUCCUCUUCAUCUCAACAUCUUCAUCACGCGUUGUUCAAGAAAAACAAAAGAGCGCUCAAGAUUGGUUCAAGGUUUACUAUGUUCGACUGUUAACUUCACUCGAGAUGCAGAGAGAAACAAAGGAAAGGGGCUUCACGGCUUCAAGCUCUGAAUAUGAAGUUGACGGCAAUGAACAAGCUCUUGAUGGAGGAAAAUGAUAGGUUGCAGAAGCAAGUGUCACACCUGGUUCAUGAAAAGAGCUACUUCUGUCAACACACCCCCAACGCUUCACUUCCAGCUACAGACAUAAGCUGUGAAUCAGUGGUGACUAGUGGACUAGAGCCUACAAGGGUCGCAGAGAUUGUCAAGGAUCGGCUUUCGUGGUUCCGGGAAUGCCGAGCUGUUGAUGUUAUGAAUUUUUUUGUAUUCUUACAAGGCAUUAGAGAAGUGAAAUCAAUGCAAUGCAUACAGCUACAGAUGUGAGGCUUUGAAUCUGCGGUUGUGUAGGCUAAUGUUCUUUGAUAUAUGUAGGGGUUUGCAUUCACUGACUAAGCAAUGUCCUGCUUUGAAGUUGUUCCAAAGCAUUUGAAAGUUGAGGAAUACGUAGUGUUAUAUUCUUACGAGGCUUUAGAGAAGUGAAAUCACAUACAGCGACAUAUGUGAGCUUUA